UACGUAGGGGGCAAGCGUUAUCCGGAUUUACUGGGUGUAAAGGGGGCGCAGACGGCGAUGCAAGCCAGGAGUGAAAGCCCGGGGCCCAACCCCGGGACUGCUCUUGGAACUGCGUGGUUGGAGUGCAGGAGGGGCAGGCGGAAUUCCUGGUGUAGCGGUGAAAUGCGUAGAUAUCAGGAGGAACACCGGUGGCGAAGGCGGCCUGCUGGACUGCAACUGACGUUGAGGCCCGAAAGCGUGGGGAGCAAACAGG
rnacentral:rRNA from 1 species